rnacentral:rRNA from 1 species
UACGGAGGAUGCAAGCGUUAUCCGGAAUGAUUGGGCGUAAAGCGUCCGCAGGUGGCUGUGUAAGUCUGCUGUCAAAGAGCGAAGCUCAACUUCGUAAAGGCAGUGGAAACUACACGGCUAGAGUGCGUUCGGGGCAGAGGGAAUUCCUGGUGUAGCGGUGAAAUGCGUAGAGAUCAGGAAGAACACCGGUGGCGAAGGCGCUCUGCUAGGCCGCAACUGACACUGAGGGACGAAAGCUAGGGGAGCGAACGGG